rnacentral:hammerhead_ribozyme from 1 species
AUACAGAUGACGAGUCCCAAACAGGGUGAAAGGCGCAUCCUGGAU